CUGUUACCCCACUGCUUGCAGUGGAGCCUGCAGGAGGAGACUGGUGUCAGAGUCACCUCAUUGCCGGGUUUGCAGAAGAGAUUUGCAUAAAGAAUGUGUGAAAUCUCCUUGCAAGGUGGAAUCAUUCUGAGGUCCUCAGACUUGAAGGCAAGAAGGUAGACUAAUUUUGCCUCCCCCCCCCACCCCGUGACCUUUCAAGUUCUCCUCCAGCCUUUCCUUCCAUAAAAUGUAUAAUUGCCCUUUCUGGCAGUUCACAGAGAAGUGCUAUUCCCAGCCCUUCCAAGCUGCUCUGGAUGGAAAAUGCCCUUGGUUCUCAGAGACUUAACACCCGGCCCUGUGAACAUGAGCACGAUUAUUCUCUCCGAGCAGCUCUUUUCACAUGUGAUAAGCUUGGCAAGUUGCCCUGCAAGAUGCAGAGGAGAACUUACUCUCUUGAUGAUGGACAAGUGGCUGUAAUGGUUGAUAUACUGUGUCAACUUGAGAAGGUAAGAGGUUUCACUAAGUACUUCAUCAGGGGGCAGGGUCCUUAUUUUGUGACUUUCUCAGCCCUUGCAAGAGGAGGACAAGCACAUGCUGUGGGUGCUAUAGAUGCCUGAGGAGAGAAGCCUGCAUACAAUAAAAGGCAAAUGAGGAGAGACUGAUUAACUGAUUGCUGGUUCUUCAGAGGAGCUCUACCCUGCAGGUGGGCUGUUGUCUCCUGGCUUUUGGCACAGGCUGUUUGGUUUCUACCUGGGACUCUUCACCUUCUGGCGUAGACUCUUCAGCCUUCCAUCGUAGAUUCUUCGGCGUUUUGUCUCAGACCCAUCGACCUCCUGAUGCAGACUUGCACACAACACUGCAGUGAGCUCCAGAUUGUGGACUGAGCCCUUCAGCCUCCAGCAUGCGGACCCGCUCUGCACGCUUCCUCAUCCAACUCUGUGACUAUCAUAAGCCAAUCUUGAAAUUUCUUAUACAUUUGUAUAGCUUGAGUGAUAUCUGUUUCUCUAGUAAACCCUGACUGAUACCGUGGCUAGAGAGUCCCAGGUUUUCUAUCCACAGCUCAUCUCAUCAGAAGAGAAAACAUGCAGUGAAGUUCUAGAUGCUCUGUGAAAUAAGCAUGAAGCUACGUGAACCGCCCUACCACGAUCUAAUCCAUAACCACUGAAUUCCACGCCCAUCCCAGAUCCAGUCCUGUUGGACAUUUCAUCACAGCUGAACUUUGCCUGAGUGACCUGACUGGUCCAGUGUUAUAAGAAAAGGAUGGCAUUAGUCAGCACCUCUGAGUACUAACUUGAUACUUUCGCUGAGUACUAACUUGGUGUCUUUGCUUCUCCAGCUAAGGUAGGUAUUGUACUAUGUUAGUGUCCACUCAUGUUCAGAAACUCUAAACUUGGACUUAUCCAAGGCUAGAAUGUGGUCUAAUGGAAAAAAAGGGAGUGUAUUUUGU
rnacentral:lncRNA from 1 species